rnacentral:lncRNA from 11 species
UUUUGAAAUAUUCUUGGAGGGAUUUACAGUCUUUGCAAUCUGAUCAAAAUGUAGAAGGACUCAUUUAAGACGAGUUGCUGCAAUCUCUUCUAGGGGCUGUAGUGUUCUGGCAUGGGAACAGCAAUACAUCCUAAUAUAAUAGGAAAAAAGGACAAGCGGUCACUAUGUCACUUCCCUUUCCAUAAAUGGUAUAUAUGGAAGAACUGGGAUUAAAAUGGGAGAAACCUGAAGUUGCCCAAUCCUAUGUUAGUGCUGAACUGGGAUUGGAGAGAUCCAGGUUCAACUUCCCAUUUAACCAUGACAUUCAUUAGGUGACCUUGGACUAGUCCUUUCUCAAGAUGCAGUGAUUCAUGGUUCUGGGGUGAGAAAUGGUGGAAUAUAAAUAAAUAGGGAGGAAUGAGCAAUCUUCUCUGCAGAGACAACAUUAUGUCAUGUUGAAGUACCAUGAUCCUGGAUAUUGAAAUCUGGAUGAACUAUCCUGGAGCAAUGACACCAUCUAAUACUAGAACAAGGAUGACUAAAUUAUCUGCAUGGGAAUGCUGGGUAAGACUGAUGGAAAUUCCAGUGCAACAACAUCCAACAAAAGAAAGAAAAAGAAAACAAAAAAACACCACUUUAGUAUGCCAAUUACAUCAGAGUGACUAUUUCCUCUAUAGGUCUUACAAGGAAGGGCAAAGUACUGGUACUUAUUUUUGUUGUUGUAAGAUUGGGAUGUGAGAUAUGUAGGAGAUAAAUUGUACGAAUCAGGACCAUAUAUAAUUGCACAGAAAUAAACUACUGGGUAUGUCAUUCCUAUCCUAUUCCAUUCAGUCUUCAUUCUGAUAUGUUAAUGUUUUCCUGCUUCCACUCAUACUGCAUUCUGUGCUUUUGUUACA